UCGUGUGUGUUCAAUAAAGUAAAUAAUAGAAAAAAUUUCAAGCAAAAACCAAGCAUAAUAAAUUUCUAUGACCAUUAAGACAUCCAUAUUCUUAUCGCUUCUCUCCCACGUUUCACGAAGGCCCUCAGCCAUCUGCCAAUUCCAUUUGAAUUAUUUUUGAUAAAGCCCAUUAAAAAAAAAAGUUCAAAAUGCGUGAAAAAUGCACUUUGAGACCUAAAAUGACAACCAAGUAUGCAAGUGAAACAAACUUAGUCUUAAACAAGUCUCAAAAUGGCAAUCAAGUGGGUAAGGUCAACAAACUUAGUAUCUCUUGAUUUGAAAUUUGAAAAAUAUUUGUAAGGUGUGAUAAAUUCAAAAUCAAAUCAUUUUAUGUUUAUGUUGUUGAAUUUAAAGAAAUCAAAUGAUUAUAAAUCAACUUUUAAAAAAUUAAAAAUUUGUUUCUAGACAUCCAUAUUCUUACCGAUUAAAAUUCAACUUACAUAUUCUCUUUUUUACUUAAUAUCUAAAAUUUACAUAUACUUUAAAAUUUAUUUCUUCUCUUUUCAUUUUUUUUCUCAUAUUUCAUUUUUCAAGAUUUAAAUAGUUUUUUUGUUUUAUCUGUACUUUUUUUGAUAGGUUAUGAGUUAUGAGCUUAUAGUUUAGCAUUGUUAGGUCGUUUUGAAAAUUCAAGUGAUACUCCAAG
rnacentral:lncRNA from 1 species